GGGGCUGUAGCUCAGAGGCAGAGCGCUUGCCUAGCAUGCAUGAGGCACUGGGUUCAAUCCUCAGCACCACA
rnacentral:tRNA from 1 species